rnacentral:rRNA from 1 species
GACGAACGCUGGCGGCGUGCCUAAUACAUGCAAGUCGAGCGAAUCAAUAGGAGCUUGCUCCUGAUGGUUAGCGGCGGACGGGUGAGUAACACGUGGGCAACCUGCCUGUAAGACUGGGAUAACACCGGGAAACCGGUGCUAAUACCGGAGAAUCCUUUUCCUCCCAUGAGGAAAAGCUGAAAGUCGGUUUCGGCUGACACUUACAGAUGGGCUCGCGGGGCAUUAGCGAGUUGGUGAGGUAACGCCUCACCAAGGCGACGAUGCGUAGCCGACCUGUGAGGUUGAUCUGACACACUGGGACUGAGACACGGCCCAGACUCCUACGGCAGUCAGCAGUAGGGAAUCUUCCACAAUGGACGAAAGUCUGAUGGAGCACCGCCGCGUGAUGGAUGAAGGCCUUCGGGUCGUCAAGCUCUGUUGUUAGGGAAGAACAAGUCCCGGAGUAUCUGCCGGUACCUUGACGGUACCUAUCCAGAAAGCCACGGCUAACUACGUGCCAGCCGCCGCGGUAA